UUUGAUGUUGCUACGAGGGA
rnacentral:siRNA from 1 species